rnacentral:rRNA from 1 species
UGGGCCCUACGGGACGCAGCAGUGGGGAAUAUUGCACAAUGGGGGAAACCCUGAUGCAGCGACGCCGCGUGGGUGAAGAAGUAUUUCGGUAUGUAAAGCCCUAUCAGCAGGGAAGAAGAAUGACGGUACCUGACUAAGAAGCACCGGCUAAAUACGUGCCAGCAGCCGCGGUAAUACGUAUGGUGCAAGCGUUGUCCGGAUUUAUUGGGCGUAAAGCGAGUGCAGGCGGUUCAAUAAGGCUUAUGUGGAAGCCUUCGGCUCAACCGGAGAAUUGCAUC